AUGGCGAUCAAGCUUAUAGCAGUAGCGUUUUUCUUGCUCGUCCUGGCCUUUGCUGAGUCCAGCGACAGGGGUGAACCUCCAUCUUCUCAAGAAAAUGCUUUUGGUGCGAGCGCUUAUGCGGUUCAUUGGGAUCCAGAUUAUGCACAUUCUGAAGAAAAUGGUUUUGGUGAAAGUGCUUAUGCGGUGCAUUGGGAUUCUCCUUCUCAAAAAGACAACUUUGGUGAAAGUGCGUAUGCGGUACAUUGGGACCCCCCUUCAAAAGAAGAAGGUUUUGGGGCAAGUGCUUAUAAGGUGGAUUGGAACCCAGAAGAUGCACCUUCCAAAGAAGAAGGUUUUGGAACAAGUGCUUAUAAGGUGGAUUGGAACCCAGAAGAUGCACCUUCCAAAGAAAAAGGUUUUGGGGCAAGUGCUUAUAAGGUGGACUGGAACUCAGAACAUGCAUUUCCAAGGAAAAUGGUUUUGGGGCAAGUGCUUAUAAGGUGGAUUGGAACCCAGAAGAUACACCUUCCAAAGAAAAAGGUUUCGGCCAAAGUGCUUACAAGGUGUCUUGGAGCCCAGAAGAUCCACAUUCCGGUUUUGGGGCAAGCGCUUAUAAGGUAUCUUGGAGCCCAGAUGGUGCACCUUCUGACAAAGGAUUUGGUGCAAGUGCUUAUGCGGUACAUUGGGAUCCAGAUCAUCCACCUUCUGGUAAUGGUAAGUACUUGUGCUACGUUUCUUAUCAAGUGGAAGAAUGUGUUCAUUCUGAAGUAG
rnacentral:rRNA from 1 species